GGCAAGUUGUUGAAUCUACUCGUUACCUUGAGCAAACUACCGGCCUCAUAAUGCCGGAGUCGAGGGUUCGAGUCCCUCCCUUUCCACCA
rnacentral:tRNA from 1 species